rnacentral:rRNA from 1 species
GACGAACGCUGGCGGCGUGCUUAACACAUGCAAGUCGAACGGUGAAGCGCCUUCCUUUUUGGUGGGUGUGGAUGAGUGGCGAACGGGUGAGUAACACGUGAGUAACCUGCCCCCUUCUUCUGGAUAACCGCAUGAAAGUGUGGCUAAUACGGGAUAUUCUGGGUCUGUCGCAUGAUGGGUCUGGGAAAGAUAUUGUUUCGGUGGGGGAUGGGCUCGCGGCCUAUCAGCUUGUUGGUGGGGUGAUGGCCUACCAAGGCGGUGACGGGUAGCCGGCCUGAGAGGGUGGACGGUCACACUGGGACUGAGACACGGCCCAGACUCCUACGGGAGGCAGCAGAGGGGAAUAUUGCACAAUGGGCGCAAGCCUGAUGCAGCGACGCCGCGUGAGGGAUGGAGGCCUUCGGGUUGUGAACCUCUUUCGCCAGUGAAGCAGGCCUGCCUCGUUUGUGGGUGGGUUGACGGUAGCUGGAUAAGAAGCGCCGGCUAACUACGUG